UACGGAGGGUGCAAGCGUUGUCCGGAUUUAUUGGGCGUAAAGGGCGCGUAGGCGGCUCAUGAAGGCUGUGGUGAAAGUCCGGGGCUCAACCUCGGAUCGGCCGUGGCGACUCGUGGGCUGGAGCACUGUAGAGGCGGGUGGAAUUCCGGGUGUAGCGGUGGAAUGCGUAGAGAUCCGGAAGAACACCAGUGGCGAAGGCGGCCCGCUGGGCAGUGGCUGACGCUGAGGCGCGACAGCGUGGGGAGCAAACAGG
rnacentral:rRNA from 1 species